CCAGCCGAAGGGUUUUUGAUAGCAUGAACCGGCCUUGUCAAGGUCGUGAAGAAUGCCUCGUGCGACGCCCGUCCUGCGCCAGAUUCGCAAAGCCAUUGCAGAUCGCGAUUUGCUCAAGGUCCUGACUUCCGAGAUCAAGCACGAACUUUCGUCAAAUCGCUUUCAGGAUUCUCAAAGUGGUUCUUUGGGAGAUUUUGUGUUGAUCUGGGAUGCACCGAAGUCCCUGGACGUGUUUUUGCGGAGGAAAUAUGAUACUGGAGAGGAGGUUGCUGUUUCAGCUUUUCUAGAUCCACAAACUUAUAGUUCAGAUGAUAUGCUUCCUAGGGAGGCUCUGAUGAAAGUUUGCAUUAAAAAGCCUGGCCUCUGCUCCAAUUUACAGUUUGACUGCAGAGUUUUCAGUGGAGGCAACUGCCGGUUUGAAUUUGACAUCCACAAUGCUUAUUAUCUCCGGUCAUCAACUUGUCUGAGCCCUUCAGUCUAUAGGGGUCCCUUAUUCAGCUCUUUGGAUCCUCAGUUGCAAGAAGCACUCAAGGAAUACCUAGUAGAUAAGGGUGUUGGAGAAAGCUUGACCAACUUCCUUCUCCACCACCUACAUAGAAAGGAGCAAGCUCAAUAUGUGCACUGGUUGCAUGAGCUGGAAAAGUUUGUGGGAGAGGAUGUCUGAUUUAGACAACUGGCAGCAGCAAAUGCUACUUGUAUGCUUCUGUUAUCUCAUACCAUUAGAUCACUUCUUGUAGGAAGACACUAUUGAUUCAUCUAAUUUUAGGUCAAUAUUUUUUCUGAUCGUUCGAGGAACAUGAACAAGCAAUUGUGAGUCACAAGGACAAACUUCGCAAAAGAAAAAAGGAAAAAAAGAAGGCGAAGCGCUGCUAUCACACGAGGUGAACCAGCUAGGCGAGCGGAGCAAGCUCGCAGGUAGAGGGGCUGUAGUACUGCCCUUGUUGAGAGUGAAUAUUAUUUUUGAGUGGCAUGUUUUGUAAACCCUUAGUAACUGUAAGGGUAGUUUUCGAGGAACAACAAUGUUUGUAUAUCGUGGGAUGAUUUGACACUCUGGUAUUGUAUUAUGUGUGGUUUUAUUUUAUAUGAUUGACCUUCUGCUGUUUA